rnacentral:rRNA from 1 species
GACGAACGCUGGCGGCGUGCCUAAUACAUGCAAGUUGAGCGAUGAAGAUUGGUGCUUGCACCAAUUUGAAGAGCAGCGAACGGGUGAGUAACGCGUGGGGAAUCUGCCUUUGAGCGGGGGACAACAUUUGGAAACGAAUGCUAAUACCGCAUAACAACUUUAAACAUAAGUUUUAAGUUUGAAAGAUGCAAUUGCAUCACUCAAAGAUGAUCCCGCGUUGUAUUAGCUAGUUGGUGAGGUAAAGGCUCACCAAGGCGAUGAUACAUAGCCGACCUGAGAGGGUGAUCGGCCACAUUGGGACUGAGACACGGCCCAAACUCCUACGGGAGGCAGCAGAAGGGAAUCUUCGGCAAUGGACGAAAGUCUGACCGAGCAACGCCGCGUGAGUGAAGAAGGUUUUCGGAUCGUAAAACUCUGUUGGUAGAGAAGACCGUUGGUGAGAGUGGAAAGCUCAUCAAGUGACGGUAACUACCCAGAAAGGGACGGCUAACUACGUG